UGCUUUCAGGAUAAUGACCAAAUUCCGUGAUCUGUUCCCUGUUUACCAAGCUAUCCAAAUUUAUCUCUUGGCUUCUAUUCCCAGCCCCAAUUUCCAUCCCACACAGUACGCUCCAGAUACACUCGCAAUUCCCAGGAUUCAUUGUGCCAUCUUGCCUUCAUAUGUUUCUCUGUGCUAGAAAUGCCUUCCACUUUCUCCAAUCUGCCUCUUUGUUCAAAAGCCAAUUCAAACGUCUCUGGGAAGUUUCCCACACCACGAGAAAAGCUGGUCUGUGCCUCCUCUGCGCCUUCACUGCCGCGCUUUCCUAGCCAGAUUUUGCAAUUGUAUUUCUGCAAUUACUCAAACGUGUUUCCUUCUGACCAGACAAAGCUCCCCAAGGCCGGACUUCAUUCAUCUUUACUCCUAAUGCUUGAGGAAGGGCACAUGAGUUGCAGAUGCUUAGUGACUAUUUUUUUUAGUGAUAGACUCAUGGGGGAAGGCAGCUUAGCUAUAGCUAAGACAACCUUGGGGUGUGCAGGUGGGGGCGGUGAGGUGACUUCCAACCAGAAAAGAACUUGUAAAUCUAUAGGCAUAGGUCAUAAACUGAGCGUGUGUUUCACCCAAAGAUGUGUUCAUUUCUCUCCAGGGGGACAUAGCUGGGGGUGAGAGAAGCGUGGAGGACACAAGAUUUUGGCAUUGAAAAAUAGCAAAGAGUCUAAAAAUGUUAUUCCUGGAAGGGACAUUCAAGAUCAUAAAACAUUAGGACAAGACUGCAUCUUUUAAAUGUACAUUUUAAAAUAUGCUUCAACACUCUGCUAUUGAGGACACUGGCUCAGAAAGGCGGAACUGACUGCAUUAAGGCCAUAAAACAAUUUAGUGGUUUCUUCACCCUUUUUUUUCCCUAAGAGACAGGGUCUCACUUUGUUGCCCAGGCUGGAGUGCAGUAGCAUAAUCACAGCUCACUGCAGCCUUGACAUCCUGGGCUCAAGUUAAUCUUCCCACCUCAGCCUCCCAAGUAGCUGGGACUACAGGUGUGCACCCCCAUGCCUGGCUGGUUUUUAAAAUUUUUAUUAUUUUUUUUUUAAUGUAGAGACAGAGGUCUCCCUAUGUUGCCCUGCCUGAUCUCAAACACCUGGGCUCAGCCAUCUUCCCCUGCCUCGGCCUCCCAAUAUGCUGGGAUUUCAGGUGUCGGCCGCUGUGCCAUUUCACUUUCCCCACAGUAUUAAGUCAUAGAUGCCAUUCAUUUCCAUGCUAUACUGUCUUUUAAUGAUUGCCAUAUAGUAUUUCUUUGUAACAGAAAUAGGCACUUGAAUUCCAAUUUUAAUUUUUAAUUUCUCGUGACCAUAAACUCUGAAGUGUUACUUCUUCUGGCUAGAAUUACCAUUAGAGUUAUUAGACCUAACUGAUUGAAACCACAUAAGUACAAUACAAAUUUGAUAACAGUUUGCAUAUGGAGAGUUACAUUUUAUUUAUUGAGAUGGAUUUUUAAAAUGUAUGUUCAUGUUUACAUUGAUAAAUAUUAUUGAUUCCUAGAUUGGAACAGGAGUCACUAUCAACACUAUCCUUAUUUUUUUAUUUUAAUCCAUAUAUGAGUUUAGAAGCCUUUUUCACAAAAUUAUGUGGAACUGGAAAGAGUUUUAUUAUUACAGUGUCACUCAAUUCUUUGGAUUCUUUCCAAGAUGCUUGGCAAAAAUCACUUGGAGCUCUUUUAUUGAAAAUCAGUGAACAGCUCCAUCAGUUCCUCCUUCAGCGUUGUAUCAUGGCAACGCCUUUUCUCUAAGUCUGUUCCCCUGAAGGAGCUUUGCUGUGAUUUGAAUGUGUCCCCCAAAGCUCAUAUGUUGGAAACUUAAUAUCCAGUGCAACUGUUUUGAGAGGUGGGACCUAGCCAGGCAUCGUGGCUCACAUCUGUAAUCCCAGAACUUUGGGAAGUUGAGGUGGGAGGGUCACUUGAGCCCAGGAGUUUAAGACUAGACUGGGUAACAACAUAGUGAGACCCUGUCUCUAGAAACAAAAACAAAAAACUAAAUUAACUGAGCAUGGUAGCACAUGCCUGUAGUCUCAGCUAUUCUUUAGGCUGAGGUGGGAGAGUUGCUUCAGCCGGUGUGGGUGAGGCCAUAGUGAGCUGUGAUUGUGCCACUACACACCAACCUGGGUGACAGAGUGAGACCCUGUCUUAAAAAAAAAAAAGAGAGAGGUGGGAUCUUUAAGGGGUAAUUAGGUCAUGAGGACUCUUCCCUCACGAAUGGAUUAAUUCCAUUAU
rnacentral:lncRNA from 1 species